rnacentral:rRNA from 1 species
CGAAGGGGGCGAGCGUUAUUUGGAAUCACUGGGCGUAAAGCGUGCGUAGGCUGUUCUACAAGUCAGGAGUGAAAGCCCAAGGCUUAACCUUGGAAGCGCUCUUGAAACUGUAGGACUCGAGUUCGGGAGAGGAUAGCGGAAUUCUCAGUGUAGCAGUGAAAUGCGUAGAUAUUGAGAGGAACACCAGUGGCGCAAGCGGCUAUCUGGACCGACACUGACGCUGAGGCACGAAAGCGUGGGGAUCAAACAGGAUUAGAUACCCUGGUAGUCCACGCCGUAAACGAUGUGUGUUUGUCGCCGGGGGGUCAACCUUCGGUGACGAAGCUAACGCGUUAAGCACACCGCCUGGGAGUACGGCCGCAAGGUU